rnacentral:rRNA from 1 species
AGAGUUUGAUCCUGGCUCAGGGUGAACGCUGGCGGCAUGUCUAAGGCAUGCAAGUCGAAAGCCUGUUUACAGGCUUGGCAAACGGGAGAGUAACACGUUGGUAACCUACCUCUAUCUCAAGGAUAACCCGGAGAAAUCUGGAAUAAUACUUGAUAGUCAUGGGGGGACAUAAGUCAUUCCCAUGUAAAGAUUUAUCGGAUAGAGAGGGGCCUACGGCACAUCAGCUUGUUGGUAAGGUAAAAGCUUACCAAGGCUACGACGUGUAGCGGGUGUGAGAGCAUGACCCGUCUCACUGGAACUGAGACACUGUCCAGACUCCUACGGGAGGCUGCAGUCAAGAAUCUUCCUCAAUGGACGAAAGUCUGAAGGAGCAAUGCCGCGUGAUCGAUGAAGCUUUUCGGAGUGUAAAGAUCUUUUAUCAAGGACGAAUUCGUGACGGUACUUGAUGAAUAAGUCACUGCUAACUACGUGCCAGCAGCAGCGGUAAUACGUAGGUGGCGAGCGUUACCCGGAUUGAUUGGGCGUAAAGGGUCCGCAGGCGGUUUGAACAGUCGUUGGUCAAAUCUUGAGGCUUAACCUCAAGACUGCCAAUGAUACUUUCAAACUAGAGACUGGGAGAGGCAAACGGAAUUGCCGGUGUAGUAGUAAAAUGCGUUGAUAUCGGUAGGAACACCAAAAGCGAAGGCAGUUUGCUGGAACAGUUCUGACGCUCAGGGACGAAAGCAUGGGUAGCGAAUGGGAUUAGAUA